GAUGAACGCUGGCGGCGUGCUUAACACAUGCAAGUCGAACGAAGCACCUUAUUCUGAUUUCUUCGGAAUGAAAAAUUUGGUGACUGAGUGGCGGACGGGUGAGUAACGCGUGGGUAACCUGCCUCAUACAGGGGGAUAACAGUUAGAAAUGACUGCUAAUACCGCAUAAGACCACAGCACCGCAUGGUGCAGGUGUAAAAACUCCGGUGGUAUGAGAUGGACCCGCGUCUGAUUAGGCAGUUGGUGGGGUAACGGCCUACCAAGCCGACGAUCAGUAGCCGACCUGAAAGGGUGACCGGCCACAUUGGGACUGAGACACGGCCCAAACUCCGACGGGAGGCAGCAGUGGGGAAUAUUGCACAAUGGGGGAAACCCUGAUGCAGCGACGCCGCGUGAGCGAUGAAGUAUUUCGGUAUGUAAAGCUCUAUCAGCAGGGAAGAAAAUGACGGUACCUGACUAAGAAGCACCGGCUAAAUACGUGCCAGCCGCCGCCGUAA
rnacentral:rRNA from 1 species